ACGGAGGGAGCAAACGUUGUUCGGAUUUACUGGGUGUAAAGGGUGCGUAGGCGGCCCUGUGUGUCAGAGGUGAAAUCCCACGGCUCAACCGUGGAAUUGCCUUUGAAACUGCAGGGCUUGAGUCCGAGAGGGGAAGGUGGAAUUCCUGGUGUAACGGUGAAAUGUGCAGAUAUCAGGAAGAACACCAGUGGCGAAGGCGGCCUUCUGGCUCGGAACUGACGCUGAGGCACGAAAGCUAGGGUAUCGAACGGG
rnacentral:rRNA from 1 species